AAUGAACGCUGGCGGCAGGCCUAAAACAUGCAAGUCGAACGCCCUAGCAAUAUGGAGUGGCGCACGGGUGAGUAACAUGUGGGAAUAUGCCUUUUGGUACGGAACAACGUUUGGAAACGAACGCUAAUACCGUAUGGUCCCUCCGGGGUAAAGAUUUAUCGCCAAAAGAUUAGCCCGCACUAGAUUAGCUAGUUGGUAAGGUAAUGGCUUACCAAGGCGACGAUCUAUAGCUGUUCUGAGAGGAAGAUCAGCCACACUGGGACUGAGACACGGCCCAAACUCCUACGGGAGGCAGCAGUUAGGAAUAUUGGACAAUGGGCGCAAGCCUGAUCCAGCCAUGCCGCGUGAGUGAUGAAGGCCUUCGGGUUGUAAAGCUCUUUAGCCGACGAAUAUAAUGACUGUAGUCGGAGAAUAAGCCCCGGCUAACUUCGUGCCAGCAGCCGCCGUAACAC
rnacentral:rRNA from 1 species